GACGAACGGCUGGCGGCGUGCUUAACACAUGCAAGUUGAACGGGCAUACAUGGAAGCUUGCUGAAGUGUAUGUUAGUAGCGGACGGGUGAGUAAUGCAUGAGAAGCUGCCAUUGGGAGGGGGACAACAGUUGGAAACGGCUGCUAAUACCCCGUAUGCCGAAAGGUAAAAGGGAGCAAUCCGCCUGAUGAGGUGCUCAUGUCCUAUCAGCUGGUUGGUGGGGUAACGGCCUACCAAGGCGACGACGGGUAGCCGGCCUGAGAGGGUGAACGGCCACACUGGAACUGAGAUACGGUCCAGACUCCUACGGGAGGCAGCAGUGGGGAAUAUUGGGCAAUGGGGGAAACCCUGACCCAGCGACGCCGCGUGAGGGAAGAAGGCUUUCGGGUUGUAAACCUCUGUCCUUGGUGACGAAAAAAAUGACGGUAGCCAAGGAGGAAGCCCCGGCUAACUACGUG
rnacentral:rRNA from 1 species